GACGAACGCCGGCGGCGUGCCUAAUACAUGCAAGUUGAGCGCUGAAGGUUGGUACUUGUACCAACUGGAUGAGCAGCGAACGGGUGAGUAACGCGUGGGGAAUCUGCCUUUGAGCGGGGGACAACAUUUGGAAACGAAUGCUAAUACCGCAUAAAAACUUUAAACACAAGUUUUAAGUUUGAAAGAUGCAAUUGCAUCACUCAAAGAUGAUCCCGCGUUGUAUUAGCUAGUUGGUGAGGUAAAGGCUCACCAAGGCGAUGAUACAUAGCCGACCUGAGAGGGUGAUCGGCCACAUGUGGACUGAGACACGGCCCAAACUCCUACGGGAGGCAGCAGUAGGGAAGCUUCGGCAAUGGACGAAAGUCUGACCGAGCAACGCCGCGUGAGUGAAGAAGGUUUUCGGAUCGUAAAACUCUGUUGGUAGAGAGGAACGUUGGUGAGAGUGGAAAGCUCAUCAAGUGACGGUAACUACCCAGAAAGGGACGGCUAGCUACGUG
rnacentral:rRNA from 1 species